rnacentral:rRNA from 1 species
UACGUAGGGCGCAAGCGUUGUCCGGAAUUAUUGGGCGUAAAGAGCUCGUAGGCGGUUUGUCGCGUCUGCUGUGAAAACGCGGGGCUUAACCCCGCGCCGCAGUGGGUACGGGCAGACUAGAGUGCGGUAGGGGGAGACUGGGAAUUCCUGGUGUAGCGGUGGAAUGCGCAGAUAUCAGGAGGAACACCGGUGGCGAAGGCGGGUCUCUGGGCCGUUACUGACGCUGAGGAGCGAAAGCAUGGGGAGCGAACGG